UAAAAAUAUAUUUUGUAAGAUUGUUACUAUGAAAAUCAAAUAACUUUGAAUGCUCGCGUUUUAAGUUAUUCUCUUACCUUAAAGCAGCCUCUAGAAUUAAACAAUUGUUCCUUUAGGUAUAGCUGAUACAUGCUGUAAUUUGUUUUUGUUUAUAUUGUUUUGAAAAAAAUGGCGACCAAAUAAUUUUCAAACGUAGACGAUGUUCGACACUUAUUUUGUCCAUGCAAAUAAUUCAAUUUAAUUUCA
rnacentral:lncRNA from 1 species